GCUGGGCAUGGUGGCAUACCUAUAGUGCCAGCUACUUGGGAGGCUGAGGUGGGGGGAUUGUUUGAACCCAGGAGCUCUAGGCUGUAGUGCACUCUGUCUUUUUGGUGUCUGCGCUAAGUUUGGCAUCAAUCUGGUAAAUUCCUAGCUGCAGGGAACCACUAGGUUGUCUAAGGAGGGGUAAACCAGCACAGCUUCGAAAUGGAGCAGAUCAAAACUCCUAUGCUGAUCAGUAGGAGGAUCAACACCUAUGAACAUGCAGCCUGGAGAACAUAAUGAGAUGCUAUUUCUU
rfam:Otolemur garnettii contig014100, whole genome shotgun sequence.